AUUGAACGCUGGCGGCAGGCCUAACACAUGCAAGUCGAACGAGUGGCGGACGGGUGAGUAAUGUUUGGGAAACUGGCUGAUGGAGGGGGAUAACGACUGGAAACUGUCGCUAAUACCGCAUACCAUCGGAUGUGCCCAGGUUGGAUUAGGUAGUUGGUGGGGUAAUGGCCAACCAAGGCGACGAUCCCUAGCUGGUCUGAGAGGAUGACCAGCCAAACUGGAACUGAUACACGGUCCGGACUCCUACGGGAGGCAGCAGUGGGGAAUAUUGCGCAAUGGGCGCAACCCUGAUGCAGCCAUGCCGCGUGUAUGAAGAAGGCCUUCGGGUUGUAAAGUUCUUUCAGCGAAGAGGCGUUACCCACAGAAGAAGCACCGGCUAACUCCGUGCCAGCAGCCGCGGUAAUAC
rnacentral:rRNA from 1 species